UGGGGAAUAUUGCACAAUGGGCGCAAGCCUGAUGCAGCCAUGCCGCGUGUGUGAAGAAGGCCUUCGGGUUGUAAAGCACUUUCAGCGGGGAGGAAGGCGGUGAGGUUAAUAACCUCAUCGAUUGACGUUACCCGCAGAAGAAGCACCGGCUAACUCCGUGCCAGCAGCCGCGGUAAUACGGAGGGUGCAAGCGUUAAUCGGAAUUACUGGGCGUAAAGCGCACGCAGGCGGUCUGUCAAGUCGGAUGUGAAAUCCCCGGGCUCAACCUGGGAACUGCAUUCGAAACUGGCAGGCUAGAGUCUUGUAGAGGGGGGUAGAAUUCCAGGUGUAGCGGUGAAAUGCGUAGAGAUCUGGAGGAAUACCGGUGGCGAAGGCGGACCCCUGGACAAAGACUGACGCUCAGGUGCGAAAGCGUGGGGAGCAAACAGG
rnacentral:rRNA from 1 species